rnacentral:misc_RNA from 1 species
GAUGAAGAACGUAGCGAAAUGCGAUAAGUAAUGUGAAUUGCAGAAUUCAGUGAAUCAUCGAAUCUUUGAACGCACAUUGCGCCCGCCAGUAUUCUGGCGGGCAUGCCUGUUCGAGCGUCAUUACAACCCUCAGGCCUCCGGGCCUGGCGUUGGGGAUCGGCGGAGCCCCCCGUGGGCACACGCCGUCCCCCAAAUACAGUGGCGGUCCCGCUGCGGCUCCCUUUGCGUAGUAACUCACCUCGCACUGGACCGGGCGGCGGCCUGCCGUAAAACCCCAACUCACGAAAUGUUGACCUCGGAUCAGGUAGGAAUACCCGCUGAACUUAAGCAUAUCAAUAAGCGGAGGA